GUAGGGUAAGUUGGUCAUGCCUUCGGUAUGUACUGGCUUUACUGAUUCCUCCUUCUUGACGAACCGUGAUGUCAUUAAUUUGGUGUUGCGGGAAAUCAGGACUGUUACUUUGAAAAUUAGAGUGUUUAAAGCAGGCUAACGCUUGAAUACAUUAGCAUGGAAUAAUGAAAUAGGACGUUAAUCCUAUUUUGUUGGUUUCUAGGAUCGACGUAAUGAUUAAUA
rnacentral:rRNA from 1 species